GGCUUUGUGGUGUAGUUGGUUAUCACAUCCGUCUAACACACUGGUGGUCCCCAGUUCGAGUCCGUACCAAAUUA